UAGGGAAUCUUCGGCAAUGGGGGGAACCCUGACCGAGCAACGCCGCGUGAGUGAAGAAGGUUUUCGGAUCGUAAAGCUCUGUUGUUAAGGAAGAAAGAGUGUGAGAAUGGAAAGUUCAUGCUGUGACGGUACUUAACCAGAAAGGGACGGCUAACUACGUGCCAGCAGCCGCGGUAAUACGUAGGUCCCGAGCGUUGUCCGGAUUUAUUGGGCGUAAAGCGAGCGCAGGCGGUUAGAAAAGUCUGAAGUGAAAGGCAGUGGCUCAACCAUUGUAGGCUUUGGAAACUGUUUAACUUGAGUGCAGAAGGGGAGGGUGGAAGUCCAUGUGUAGCGGUGAAAUGCGUAGAUAUAUGGAGGAACACCGGUGGCGAAAGCGGCUCUCUGGUCUGUAACUGACGCUGAGGCUCGAAAGCGUGGGGAGCGAACAGG
rnacentral:rRNA from 1 species